AUACGUAGGUGGCAAGCGUUGUCCGGAAUUAUUGGGCGUAAAGCGCGCGCAGGCGGCCUUUUAAGUCUGAUGUGAAAGCCCCCGGCUCAACCGGGGAAGGUCAUUGGAAACUGAAGGGCUUGAGUACAGAAGAGGAAAGCGGAAUUCCACGUGUAGCGGUGAAAUGCGUAGAGAUGUGGAGGAACACCAGUGGCGAAGGCGGCUUUCUGGUCUGUAACUGACGCUGAGGCGCGAAAGCGUGGGGAGCAAACAGGAUUAGAUACCCUGGUAGUCCACGCCGUAAACGAUGAGUGCUAAGUGUUAGGGGGUUUCCGCCCCUUAGUGCUGGAGCAAACGCAUUAAGCACUCCGCCUGGGGAGUACGGCCGCAAGGCUGAAACUCAAAUGAAUUGACGGGG
rnacentral:rRNA from 1 species